rnacentral:rRNA from 1 species
AGCCUACGGGGGGCAGCAGUGGGGAAUAUUGCACAAUGGGGGAAACCCUGAUGCAGCAACGCCGCGUGAGUGAAGAAGUAUUUCGGUAUGUAAAGCUCUAUCAGCAGGGAAGAAGAUGACGGUACCUGAGUAAGAAGCCCCGGCUAACUACGUGCCAGCAGCCGCGGUAAUACGUAGGGGGCAAGCGUUAUCCGGAUUUACUGGGUGUAAAGGGAGCGUAGACGGCUGCGCAAGUCUGAAGUGAAAGCCCGGGGCCCAACCCCGGGACUGCUUUGGAAACUGCCAUGCUAGAGUGCUGGAGAGGG